UACGUAGGUGGCAAGCGUUUGUCCGGAUUUAUUGGGCGUAAAGAGCGCGCAGGCGGCUGGUCAAGUCCGAUGUGAAAGCUCCCGGCUUAACUUGGGAAAUUGCAUCGGAAACUGAUCGGCUGGAAGGUGGGAGAGGGUAGCGGAAUUCCCGGUGUAGUGGUGAAAUGCGUAGAUAUCGGGAGGAACACCAGUGGCGAAAGCGGCUACCUGGCCCAUUCUUGACGCUGAGGCGCGAAAGCUAGGGGAGCAAACGGG
rnacentral:rRNA from 1 species